AUGCCUUCUUUCUCUCUGCCUCCACCAUUCUCGAGCUCCAGCGCCCAAGUUCUCAUCUUUUCCGCCAAAAAAAGCACUCCAACCAUGUCCGGAUCCAGAGCGCAGGGCAAGUGGAUGGCCUCCUCCGUCAAGGAGAAGGACAUUACGGCGCUCCAGGAGGCCGGGUAUUUGGCCAAGGAAGUCACCCACCGGCUUCCAGCCAAGGGACAGAUCGUCCCCACCCCGGAGCCCCAUGAGAGGGUAGUAUUUAUUCCCCACUUCGUCCACGGGUUGAGAUUUCCUCUUCACCCGUUCGUCCGCGGACUCAUGUUCUACUAUGGGAUGGUUUUCCAUGAUCUGGCCCCCAACUCCUUCCUUAACAUCUUGGCAUUCAUCGUUGUGUGCGAGGCCUUCCUCCGCAUUCCACCCCACUUCGGAUUAUGGUUAAAGACCUUCAAUGGGAAGCCGAAGGUGGUGAGUAGCCAUCACGCAGAGUGCGGAGGCACCAUGGUGAGCAAGAUGCCUAACGUCACAAGGCCCGAAGGCUCCUUUGUGGAGAUCGUCAAAGGGUGA
rnacentral:rRNA from 1 species